GAGAACUGCUGUAACAAACUGCUGUAUCAUUUGGCAUUUUUGUUUAUUGUUUUUUCAAUAAUAUAAUGUAAAAAUAUAACUGUGAGGAGCAACUUAACAUUUAACCUCUUGUUACUCUACUGACUUUCUCCUCUAGGGGUAAUCUUAGAAAAAAGAAACUUGCAAAAUGUAGAUUUAAAUGGAUCUUUCUUGCUAUCUAUUUAUCUAAACUGUAUUAAAUUGCAUAUACAUGUAACAAAUUCCAACACUAAUGAGGAUGGAUAGGAGAGUCUUCUGGUUGACUGUGAUGAAGGUUUCUGAAAGAUCAAGGAGUAUGAGGACUGAUGACAGUUUGGCUGAUCUAGUGGUAUGAAGCUUCCCAGUAAUGGCCACAAGAGCAGCUUCUGUGGAUUAUGCCUCUUGGAAGCUAUUGCUCUGGGUCAGAAAGACACAUCAACACAAGAAAACAUGAGGAAACAGAGAAGCGUACUCCAAGCCUUACUUGUCACCUGACAGAAUCACAAACCUGAGCAUUUGUAGCUUUGAGAUUUUGGUUUUACAAACUCAAGUUGCCACAUCUUCCUAGCAUUGUUAAAAGGUUUCUACUGAUAUGUUAGUCCAACCUGCUGAUAGACAGUGUGCAUUUAAAAAUGUAGUACACGCGGUCUGUUGUAUGUAAAAAAAAAAAUUAAAAAAAAACUUCAUAAAGAUAUAAUAAAGAUAAGUGGUUAUGUCACUAGCUAUUGUAAAUGCAUGUAAUCCAAAAGCAGUGUGUCAGACAAGAACAAAGACACAAUUUUUUAAUGUUGCUCAGACAUCUCAGUAGAAAUCAUUAUAUGUUGUGUAAUACAUCAUUAGAUAACACACCACUUUCUUCCGUAAGUUGUUUAACUGCACCUAUGCAGUCUGUACUGUACACACACUAUAGCUUCCAUCUCAGGUGUAAAACCAGCAAUGUAACCUAGAAAUCAAUAGCUAUACUUAUUCUUGUGAACAGGAAAUGAAUGACUGUUAUAACUCAGUGUUACAAGAUGAUUUAUCAUCAGGCUGUGACAUAAAAGGGAAAUGACAACACAAUUAAAUGGACAAGAUAAACAACCUAAACAAAUAAAUCAGCCUGGGAUAUUACACCUUCUAGUCAGCAGAGGUCACUCUCACCUGAGUAUUAGGGGAGAUUAGUAUUAGGAAUGGCCAACAUUCAUCUCUCCAACUGUCCUGAAGCUGCAGGGCUCUUCUUUGUGGAACAAAGGAGAGAAACAUGCUGAGACUUGACUGCAGUAACAGUGAAGUACAGGUAUCCAUGACCUAUGGUUCCAUCAGCUCUCAAACAGUUGAGAAGUGUUAACUAGGAAGUGCAUCCAAUUAUAACAUGUCACAGAGGGGAUGAGUGACAGCCUUCAUUACUACUUUCAGGCACUACAAAUGCAUGGCAAUGUUCCAUGGUCUGGUCAGUGCCCCUUCCCUCAUCCAGGCUUUUGUGAAUUCGUUAACCAUUUUGGCAUUGUAUAUGACUUUAUGAUCUUCUUAUCCUCUGAUCAAGAAUAUAAAAAUCAUGUAUCAAAGUGGAGAAAUGUGAAUUCUUCCAGGCCUCAGUUAAAUACCUCAGUUAUACCAUAGACACUCAGGGAGUGGAGAUGGACCAAACAAAGGUAGAAGCAGUAACUUCGUGGCCACAACCUUAAAAAAUUAUUUGGUUUUGAUCCUCACUGAUCAUACAAACCUUGAAUGCAUCAAAUACGCAAAGAGAGAAUCCAUGAAUCCUGAAUCUGAACUUGUGAACUUCUCAGGCUGGGGUCCAAAAACACCAAAGCUGAAGCCUUGUUGAGACUCUGUGAUGGCCUCCAUUCACAUGAUAUCAAGUAUUAAAGAUUAAGGGAUUAAAGAGACAAUAUGAUUAAAGCAAUUUAAAGCUGAGCUCCUUAAAGCUCACAGAUAAGCAUGAUAGUAAUACAUUUUGCAAUUGCAAGAACCAGCAUGGUAAUUUCCUAACAAGAUUCAGUAAGUCAAUCAAUAAUAUUUUUUCAGGUGGACUAUUUUCUAUUUAGAGUACUUCCAUACCUACAAUGCUUUACAAUGUUUAGUGCAGUCAGACAAGAGUAAAAGCUACCAGCAACAAAUUGUUUUGAGAGAGUAGAAUCUAGAUUAAAAGGGUACUACACAUUAAAUGCACUAAUCUAUAGUACUAUUUUACUACCAGCUUUAUCUCAUCUCAAUCUUAACACUUACUUUGUACUUAUAUUCCAUUUUACGGAUAUACACGGUGUGCUUUGCAAUUAAUGACUGUAACUUAUCUGUUGCUCUGUAAUAUUUGUCACCCUCCUUCUACCUGUCCACCAGUGGAAAAGGACCACCAUAGGACAAAUGUUGACAAGAUAUUAUUUGGAUGGACCUUUCUUCACACAGCAGUGACACUGACAUGGUAGUGGAAUUUUAGUGUGUGUGGCACCGGUACAAGUGAAUCUAAGAUUUUUAACACCUCAGUGUUAUGGCUGAGCUGAGAAUCAGUCCAUAAACAAAAAUAUCCAGGUAGCUUUACCUGGUACAAUGCCCAGUGAAUGUAGGUACAAGGUUGAGGUACCUAAUAAACUGGUCACGGGGUGCAAGUAUGAUUUUCUUUUAAAGUUUAAAUGAAUUUGUUUAAUGAGUGUAUGGGAGCAAGAUGUUUCUGUAUGACUGCAGAGUAAAAGGUGUGUGUAUCUGGUAGGGAGGUGUUUGUGUGGUAGCAUUUCAGCUGCCUACAAGCCACAUACAUUAGAUCUGCAAAACUACAUGCACACAGACAUAUAUACCCCUCUCUGUAUUACCUGCAAUCAUUUCAGUCAUACAAAAGGGUCUAAGAGUGCAUGUAGUCAUUCUUUCACAAAGUUUAAAUUGAUAUUACACCUAUUGAAAACUGAUGUUAUUAAUAGUAGUAGUGGUAUUUAUGUACUUCUUUUAUUUAUACACUGAAACACAGAAAAGAAAGAAAUUGACCACCCAAGAAAGAAAGAAAAGUGAAGGAAAGAAAGACCACUGAAUCACUUAUUCAGGUUUCCUCAUGGUGUGUUCUUCCAGUGGCUUUAGCAGACAGGGUCCUUUCUGAGGCUUCAGUUGCUCUGUUGGGAUACUGCUUUAGACCGUGGAGUGAUCAUAUAGUUCUCAUAUUCUGUAAUGCCAUAUUUAACAUUUUAUAAUGGUAGUCUUACCAUUCAUCUUCAUGGUUAUUAUAAGCAGCUGAUCGUCAUCAUUCCACUUGUCGCUGGUGUGUGUGUCAACCUGCUAGCUCUGAUUUGGACUUUUCAUGUUUUUCACACAGUCCGCAAACAUGGAGGCAGAAUUUUGGCCUUCAUCAUUCUCCUCAUCAUUAAUGACUUGGCUGAGCAGCUCCUGAGUGCACUUAUUGCAUCAUAUUUAAUCCCUAAAAUAGACAGCCUUAUGAAGUCAAAGUAUUUAAAAGAUUUCAUUGAGUUAAGAUAUAUAACCUUUAACUGGAUUAAUUACAGGGUUCUUAUUUAUUUACGGUUUGCAUUUACAUAUGGUGGUCUUUACCUCCACCUGCUUGUGGCACUGGAGAGCAUGCUUUCUCUCAGAAACCAGCUCGGGUCUGCUCAUGUUUUCUCUCCACUCUGCUCCACCAUCUCCUACAUCAUUCUGUGGCUGCUUGCCUUUGGAUGUCAGUUUUUAGAUAUUUAUUUGAAUUUGGUUUUUAGCGUAUUGCCUUGUUGCUUUUUACCCAUCAUAUGCAGACUCGCUCGCAAAGCCUCUCCUGCACCUGACCACAUCAAGCCUGGCUCAGCAGUGCUGAUUAUUUCCACACUCACACUUAUCACUUUCUGUGCACCAGCGGUCAUUGUGCUUGCCUUCUAUAUUGCCAAUGGUAGAUUUUACUGGUAUUACCCAUUUUCAGCAAUCUCAGUUUUUUUGAUAAGUUUGAGAGUCAUCUCAGACCCCCUACUAUGUGUGCUGGUCUGUAAGGAGCAGCUCAGGGUUCACAAGCAGCAAACACACACAGAGAUGAACACUGAACAGACAUCAGUUUGAGCUGAAGCCCUGAGUGCUACCUGAAGAUAUCAGAAGAUGCCAAAAAAAAAAAAGUCCUUAUGGUUGCAAUUGUCAGGCAGUUGUGGAUAAAAUGGCAGUUUGUAAAUGAAAAAAUAUGCUAAAAAUCUACUGCAUGUCAAGCAACAGCAACACCAGGAAACAAUCUCUUUUUUGUAAUUGUGACUGUCAUAGUCUAUAUAUAUAUUAUAUAUAUAUAUAGAUAGUUGCACCAGUCAAACCUAAGCUCUCUUAUAGCCUAGUUUGAAUGUAAAUUGCCAGUAUGUUUAAAAACUCCUGCACCAAAUAGCAUAAUAUCAACAUAGCCUUAUGUUAUAACUUAAAAUGAUGCAUGGCUUACUCACUAAAAUACAGAAAUGAUCAAAGAAUUAUGAAUUAUGUAUCUUUUUAGCAGCCUAAAACUGAGAUUGCUGGCUAGAUCCCUCACAGAUUACUUUUUUUUUUUUACUUUAUUUAAUUUUUUUUUUUACUUUUUUAACUUCACUAAUAAUGUAACUUUAUCUUUUUCUGUCAUUCAGUAUAUUCAGAUGCAGAUAAUUAAGUUUAAUUUAAAUUACCUUUGAUUAUUUGCUAUUGUUUGUUACUAAAAUGCUGUUAAAUUUCUUGCAUAAAAUCCCAGGAAACAUGGAUGGUUUGAGAAAUUACUUUAUUGUAAAGCACAAUCCUUUUGAAAUUUAUUCAUUUAUCUACAAUCAAAAUGUGCCUCGAUAGAUAGACCAUGUUUGUAAAUACUAUGUUACACUGAUAAAGACAGACACUGUAUCACUGUUCAGAUCACUGAUGUACUAUUUCCUACUAAUAUGUGGUAAAACCUAAACAUCUCCAUGAAGUUAGCACCCCAUGAAAUUAAAUAAUCACCAAAACUAUGCCAUUUGUUUGUGCUACGUUUGUGCUGAUUUGUACCAUAGAAAGUUAUUAAGAACUUAUUCCCAUCCUUAGACAUUACAAAAUUUCUGGCGGAGCAGUGACGUCACACAAGCCGCUCUCUAUCCAUCUCAUCCACAUACCUGUCUCUUUCGCCUUGUGCUCGCGCGAUGCUGCUUUGUUACCAUUGCUGUCUUGUUUUUUUUUUUUUUUUUUGAUAUGGAAUUUUGUGUUUUAGAUUUGUACCAGAUAUUGUCAUAUAAUAAUGUACUGUACUGUAACUACUCUAGCUGUACUACUACUGUA